CACAGGGAUUAGUUCAGGACAAAG
rnacentral:piRNA from 1 species